rnacentral:rRNA from 1 species
AGAGUUUGAUCAUGGCUCAGAUUGAACUGGCGGCAUCUUAACACAUGCAAGUCGAACGGCAGAGCGGGGAGUUUAUGCUCCCUGGCGGCGAGUGGCGGACAGGUGAGUAAUACGUAGGAAUCUACCUUAUAGAGGGGACAACCCGGGAAACUCGGGCUAAUACCACGCAGUCUCUAUGGAGUAAAGCGGGGAUCUUCUGACCUCGCGCUAUAAGAUGAGCCUAUGUCGGAUUGGCUUAUUUGGUGGGGUAAUUGCCUACCAAGGCGACGAUCCGUAGCUGGUCUGAGAGGAUGAUCAGCCACACUGGGACUGAAGACACGGCCCAGACUCCUACGGGGAGGCAGCAGUGGGGAAUCUUGGACAAUGGGGAAACCUGAUGCUAGCAAUGCCGCGUGUGUGAAGAAGGCCUCAGGUUGUAAAAGCACUUUCAGUAAAGGGAAGAAAUUCUCAAGAGUAAUAUACUUGAGCGUUGACGUUACCUACAGAAGAAGCACUGGCUAACUCUGUGCCAGCGGCCGCGGUAAUACAGAGAGUGCGAGCGUUAAUCGGAAUCACUGGGCGUAAAGAGCGCGUAGGUGGAUGAAUCGGAUGUGAAAGCCUAGGCUUAACUAGGAACUGCGCACUCGAUACUGGAUAUCUCGAGUAUGGUAGAGGGAAGUGGAAUUUUCGGUGUAGCGGUGAAAUGCGUAGAUAUCGGAAAAGGCCUGGUGGCGAAAGGCGACUUCCUGGACCAAUACUGACACUGAGGUGCGAAAGCGUGGGGAGCAAACAGGAUUAGAGACCUGGUAGUCCACGCCGUCAGCGAUGAGGAACUAGCUGUUGGAGAGUUUACUUUCUGGUAGCCGAAGCUAACGCGUUAGUUCUCCGCCUGGGGAGUACGGCCGCAAGGUUAAAGUAAAGGGCAGGGGCCGCACAAGCGGUGGAGCAUGUGGUUUAAUUCGAUGCAACAUGAAAAACCUUACCUACCCUUGACAUCCUCAGAACUUGUCAGAAAUGACAGUGCCUUCGGGAACUGAGCAGUGGUGCAUGGCUCGUCAGCUCGUGUCGUGAGAUGUUGGGUUAAGUCCCGUAACGAGCGCAACCCUCGUCCUUGGUUGCCAGCGGUUCAGUCUAGAACUCUCAGGAGACUGCCGGUGAUAAACCGGAAGGUGGGGAUGAUGUCGAGUCAUCAUGGCCUUACAGGUAGGGCUACACGUGCUACAAUGGGCAGUACAAGUUUGCCAAACCGCAAGGUGGAGCCAAUCCCAGCUGCUCUUGAGGUCGGAUUGAAGUCUUACGCUCCGACUUCAUGAAGCUGGAAUCGCUAGUAAUCGCGAAUCAGGAAUGUCCAUGCGGUGAGCGCAGUCUCAAUUGUACACCGCCCGUCACACCAUGGGAGUGAAUUGUACCAGAAGCAGGUAGGCUAACCUUCAGUGGGCCGCUCUGCUGGUGUAGUUCAUGACU